rnacentral:rRNA from 1 species
GCUAAUACCGCAUAAGCGCACAGCUUCGCAUGAAGCAGUGUGAAAAACUCCGGUGGUAUACGAUGGAUCCGCGUCUGAUUAGCUGGUUGGCGGGGUAAAGGCCCACCAAGGCGACGAUCAGUAGCCGGCCUGAGAGGGUGAACGGCCACAUUGGGACUGAGACACGGCCCAAACUCCUACGGGAGGCAGCAGUGGGGAAUAUUGCACAAUGGGGGAAACCCUGAUGCAGCGACGCCGCGUGAGUGAAGAAGUAUUUCGGUACGUAAAGCUCUAUCAGCAGGGAAGAAAAUGACGGUACCUGACUAAGAAGCCCCGGCUAACUACGUGCCAGCAGCCGCGGUAAUACGUAGGGGGCAAGCGUUAUCCGGAUUUACUGGGUGUAAAGGGAGCGUAGACGGCAGCGCAAGUCUGGAGUGAAAUCCCAUGGCUUAACCAUGGAACUGCUUUGGAAACUGUGCAGCUAGAGUGCAGGAGAGGUAAGCGGAAUUCCUAGUGUAGCGGUGAAAUGCGUAGAUAUUAGGAGGAACACCAGUGGCGAAGGCGGCUUACUGGACUGUAACUGACGUUGAGGCUCGAAAGCGUGGGGAGCAAACAGGAUUAGAUACCCUGGUAGUCCACGCUGUAAACGAUGAUUACUAGGUG